UACAGAGGUCUCAAGCGUUGUCCGGAAUCAUUGGGCGUAAAGCGCGCGUAGGUGGCCACAUAAGUCCGUUGUGAAAGUCAAAGGCUCAACCUUUGAAAGCCGAUGGAUACUGUGUGGCUAGAGUACGGAAGAGGCGAGUGGAAUUCCUGGUGUAGCGGUGGAAUGCGCAGAUAUCAGGAGGAACACCAAUAGCGAAGGCAGCUCGCUGGGACGUUACUGACACUGAGGCGCGAAAGCGUGGGGAGCGAACAGG
rnacentral:rRNA from 1 species